rnacentral:rRNA from 1 species
ACUAGAGUAGCACUCGCAUAUCAAUAAGCGGAGGAAAAGAAACUAACGAGGAUUCCCCUAGUAACGGCGAGUGAAGCGGGAAGAGCUCAAAUUUGAAAUCUUAAAGGGUUUCCCUUUACGAAUUGUAGUUUAAAGAAGUGUUUUCUGUUGAGGUUUUGGUAAAAGUUCUUUGGAAUAGGACAUCAUAGAGGGUGAGAAUCCCGUAUUUGACCUUUACUUUCAACUUUGUGAUACACUUUCAAAGAGUCGGAUUGUUUGGGAAUGCAGUCCAAAAUGGGUGGUAAAUUUCAUCUAAAGCUAAAUAUUGGCGAGAGACCGAUAGCGAACAAGUACCGUGAGGGAAAGAUGAAAAGAACUUUGAAAAGAGAGUUAAACAGUACGUGAAAUUGUCAAAAGGGAAGCGUUUGACACCAGUGUUGUUUUUCUGAAAAUCAAUUAAAGAACUGUUUAUGCUAAGCUGUUUAGACUUUAUCAGCUAUCUGUUUAGUUUUAGGCUUUUCUUUAAUGCACUUUUCAGUUAACAAGUCAACAUCAAUUUCUUUUGCUGUAAAAAAGCUUGAGGAAGGUGGCUUGAGAUUCGUCUUAAGUGUUUAUAGCCUCUUGCCUAUGCAGUCGGAGAGAUUGAGGUCUGCAGCGUAGAUCCUUCGGGGCUAAAUGCAUUUGUGCUAAGUUAUAGCAUUUUAUAGACAACUUGUUGACUAUGAUUUGUCUUGUAGCUUACUCGCUUAUGUUAUUUUACCUACGCUUAGGAUGUUGAACUACUGAGACAUAGA